UGCUUAAACGCUAGCUUAAUUCCACCCCUAACCUAACAAUACCCCUACCCCCUGAUGCUUUAUGCAAUUAAACUAAACCAUUCUCCCUCUUUAGUACAGGCGAUGGAAAAAG
rnacentral:rRNA from 1 species